ACGGUCCUAAGGUAGCGAAAUUCCUUGUCAGGUAAGUUCUGACCCGCACGAAAGGUGUAACGAUUUGGGCGCUGUCUCGGCAGCAGACUCGGUGAAAUCUUAGUACCUGUGAAAAUGCAGGUUACCCGCAACUAGACGGAAAGACCCCAUGGAGCUUUACUGCAGCCUGAUAUUGAAUUCUGGUCAUACAUGUACAGGAUAGGUGGGAGACAAAGAGACGUGCACGCCAGUGUACGAGGAGUCGACGUUGGGAUACCACUCUUGUGUGACCGGGGUUCUAACCUGGUAUCGAGAACAGGUACGGGGAGAGUGUCAGGUGGGCAGUUUGACUGGGGCGGUCGCCUCCCAAAGAGUAACGGAGGCGCCCAAAGGUACGCUCAGAUUGGAUGGAAACCAAUCGUCGAGUGCAAUUGCAGAAGCGUGCUUGACUGUGAGACAAACAAGUCGAACAGGGACGAAAGUCGGGAAUAGUGAUCCGGCGGUGCCGAAUGGAAGGGCCGUCGCUCAACGGAUAAAAGCUACCCUGGGGAUAACAGGCUGAUCUCCCCCAAGAGUCCACAUCGACGGGGAGGUUUGGCACCUCGAUGUCGGCUCAUCGCAUCCUGGGGCUGUAGUAGGUCCCAAGGGUUGGGCUGUUCGCCCAUUAAAGCGGUACGCGAGCUGGGUUCAGAACGUCGUGAGACAGUUCGGUCCCUAUCUGUUGUGGGCGAAGGAGAUCUGCGGAGAGCUGUCCUCAGUACGAGAGGACCGGGAUGGACCUACCGCUGGUGCACCGGUUGUUCCGCCAGGGGCAUAGCCGGGUAGCUAAGUAGGGAAAGGAUAAGCGCUGAAAGCAUCUAAGCACGAAGCCUACUCCAAGAUGAGAUCUCCCAUUCGCAAGAAGUAAGACCCCUUAAAGACGAUAAGGUAGAUAGGCCAGGGAUGGAAGUGCAGUGAUGUACGGAGUUGACUGGUACUAAUCGGUCGAGGACUUAAUCAG
rnacentral:rRNA from 1 species